CCCUGCUAACACACGACGUAACAGUUACGUAACGUACUGGUAAUUUUUGGUAAUUCCAUGACUUACCAAUUGACAACGUAACUACGACGUCGCAUUCCCGUAAUUUUAUUACCAUCACAUUACCAACUCACAACGUCGUCAGUACGUCCUUCCAACGUGACCAGAUAACCAAGAACGUCCCAGAUAGGUCCUCUGUUGGUAAUAUAUUGGUAACUUCAUGACUUACUGGCAACGUAACUACAACGUCGUAUGCACGUAAUAUCAUUACCAUAUUUUUUGUACGGUCUUUAUAUGCUCUGAGUAUAGAGCUAUUUAAAAAGUGUGAUUAAACUUCAGACACAAGAUUAAACGUUCCUUAAAGAUAAAAUAUGUUUAUUUUCAACAAGUCAGGACAUGCUUUUAAGCUUUUAAUGACGUGACAUACAGGCGCGCGCUUCCACAACUGACGCACCGCGCGCACAGUAUUGACAAGAAAAGAGUUGUGAAACUUUCUAUCUCGUAUGGAGUUAUAACGUGAAAUAAUGACACAGACUGGCUCAUCAUCUCAUCUGCAGCAGAGACUGUUGUAUCAGAAGGACAGCGCGUUUGUUUAACGCACUUUUCACUUCAACUGUGUCUGACAGGAGAAUUUAGCUUUCUGAGCCGUUGAGUUACCAUGGCAACCGCGUACACAUCAGCUGCCUGGAGGAGAGGACUCGUCUGGUCUGACAUUUUUUCUGUUUCUCGUCUGUUAUACCAAAGAAAAGGCCAACAACUGCGACAGAUUUUGAUUUCAGGAGUGUCUUAAAAACCCUCUAAAACAGAGGGGAAGUUCCAAGAAAAUGUCUAAUGGGAGCUGCUGACAGAGAUAGAAAACACAGUUUGUUUAUUUCUAAUAAGGAGCUGGAGGCCGUGAAGAAACAGAUCCACGAUAUCGUGGAGAAGCAGGCCCAGAUGAGCAAGUGGAGAGCUGUGCUGGAAAUAUUCAGGGGUUGAUGCUCAUAAGUCCAGGGUAAGUAUACAGCUAACCCUACUACCACCUCUACUCUUUGUGGUUCUCUGCAAAGGCCCGGUGUAUCCAGGACACCAUCUUCCCAGAUGUCCUUCACCCUAUUUCACAGUGUAAGACAUGAACCAGGCCCUGGGCGACGACCUCUCUCCAUCUGCCGCCUCCGGUCCUCAGGAUCUCCGCCAGAACCCAAUUCGCUCCACUUCGCGAGACAGAACACAACACUGUGAUCAUCGGAGACUCCAUCGUCCGGCACGUUCGUGCUAUGUUAGCUGAAGGUAAAGUCCACACUCACUGUUUCCCUGGUGCUCAUGUUCUUGAUAUUUCUGCACAGAUUUCCGUGAUCCUGAAGGGUGAGGGGAGCAUCGGAGUGGACAUGCUUCACGCCGGCGUUAACGACACAAUGCUGCGGCAGACGGAGACACUGAAGAGAGACUUCAGGAGCCUGAUCGAGACGGUGCACAGCACAUCACCUGCAUGAUGAUCAUCAUGUCAGGACCACUUCCCAUAUAUAGACGAGGAAAUGAAAGGUUCAGCAGACUUUUUGCUUUAAACGAAUGGUUAUUGUCAUGGUGUAAAGAACAGAAACUGCUUUUUGUUAAUAAUUGGGAUCUUUUCUGGGAGCAUCCUAGGCUUUUUAGAUCUCCUGUUGGACAACAUCUCCAGGACACUUCGCUCCAUGUGACUAGGCAGUUUGUGAAGACAGAUAAUCAGGAGAAGUCAGUUCCAGAUCCACCUCCACACCAGACCUCUAUCUCACAAGGAUUAAUGUCUACUAGCAUAUUGUGUUCUCUUCAGACUUCGGGGGAUGCAGAUAUUACUCAGGGACACGAACACAUGAAUAUUGCAAGAAUAGAGAAAGUAAGAUAUAUUAUAUAUAUAUUUAGAUAUAUUUUUGUGGCAGUGUGAACUGGCCAUAAUGCUGUAUGAUAGGUGUGAGAUUCAUUAAACUUGAUUUGGUAUAAUACAUCUGUUCAUAAGCUAUUGGAUAUUAAUUUCAAUGAAUUAUUUGUAGUGGUUUGGUUAAGGGUGUGAUUAGCUGAUGUAUUAUUGUGGGAGCUUGUGAUUAGUUGAUAAAUGUGUUUAUUGUUAAUGAUAAUAUUUAAAUGCAAUGUGCUGAGUGCUUACUAAGACUUGCAUGUUUGUGCAUAAUGUUUUGACCCUGGAUGCUUACAGAAGAGUAUAGAUAUUUAAAUAUAUGGAAAUGUAUUUAUUAUUAAUAUAUCACAAUCUAUGUGCUUCUGUUUGGGCUGAAUGCUUUCAUUCAUAUGUCGCUGUAUAUCCUGUUUUUAUUAAUAAUCUGGGUGUAUUACUGUUCAUAUUUGCUUGUUAAUAAAUUAACUGAAUUC